ensembl:lncRNA
UUUUUUUUCAGGAGAAAGACUGUAUACAGUGCCUCACAAUUUGUUUUCAGAUCAACUACCACCAAACAUCAUCUGUUAUGUGGAGCUUGGCGUUUGGGACUGGCACGCAUGGCAUUGCUUCCCCUCGACAUAGUCCUCCCGGCUUUUUGCCGUGGGGAAGAAAAUCACUCUGAGGCUACAAGGGUGCAUGUGAAAGUGCAUCCACCUUUCAGCGGGCUGCUAACUUUAGAUCAUCGGCCAUUCCUGGAAAGAAAAAGAUACAGUUGAGUUAAAAAAUGCAAGAGCAUGCCAUGAAAGAUUCAAGAUCAAUCGGAAAGACAAGAGUCUUCUACGAUCUCCCCUCUCCUCCUCUCCCUCGGCUACCCUCUCCCAUGCACUGACUCAGAUGAAGGGGCUAGCACUCGUCAUCAGGUGGGUCCCCACCACCAUCUCUGCAACAAAAC